UUUGGCUGCCUUGUCUUGUGAGGGACUUGGCGGGAUUGGUGAGGAUUUGGAUUGGGGUUUGCUCUAUCCAGGGCCAGCUAGGAUAAGGUGAACUGUUUAAUAAUGCCGUGAAUGUAAUUACACAAUGGCAAAAACUUCUGAAGUCUUUCCUGACUGACAUUGAUGCCGAGAUUGAAGUAAUACUAAAGUUUGAAGAAAUGUGUUUGGAAUCUACCACCGAGUUCUCCCCAUUGUUCUCACAAAUACUGUGGCUUCUGUACGACAAAGAAAUUAUACAAGAAGAUGCUAUUCUAAAGUGGGAUGAUGAGAAAAAAGACGCUGAUGAUUUCGAUAAAGUUUUUGUUAAGAAGUCGGAAGAAUUCAUUAAAUGGUUGAGAGAGGCUCCUGAAGAAGAUGACGAAGAAGUCGGAGAAGAUUAGGGAGGAGUUGAUUUGUAGAUCUAAUUUGGUGGGGGCGUUGAGAUAUCCUUUCAUAAAUAUCAAAUUGAUGUAUCAUCUUUCAGGGGUGUUGUAUUGUGGAGCGGGGAUAAGGGUUCUUCUGUCCAUGGCCUUUGAAUUUGAAGGAGCCAGCCAUUAUGUACUCUAGGAGUAGAGGGAACCCAGAAACCUGAACUUAUAAUCUAACAUUGAAUGUGAUUUUGAAUGAAAAUGAAAGGUUUGAGAAAGUAAAUUCUCAAAUUUGUUACU